UCAGUAGGCGGUGUGGCAAGUCGGGAGUGAAAUCUCUGGGCUUAACCCAGAGACUGCUUCCGAAACUGCUGUGCUCGAGUUUGGGAGAGGCGCGUGGAAUUGCAGGUGUAGCGGUGAAAUGCGUAGAUAUCUGCAGGAACACCCGUGGCGAAAGCGGCGCGCUGGACCACAACUGACGCUGAAUGACGAAAGCUAGGGGAGCAAACAGGAUUAGAUACCCUGGUAGUCCUAGCCCUAAACGAUCAGGACUUGGGGUGCCGCCCGUUCGGGCGUCGUCCCGGAGCUAACGCGUUAAGUCCUGCACCUGGGGAGUACGGUCGCAAGACUGAA
rnacentral:rRNA from 1 species